rnacentral:rRNA from 1 species
UACGAAGGGUGCAAGCGUUGUUCGGAAUUACUGGGCGUAAAGCGCGCGUAGGCGGGCUUAUAAGUCGAUUGUGAAAUCCCCGGGCUCAACCCGGGAACUGCGUCCGAUACUGGUGGGCUUGAAUCCGGGAGAGGGAUGCGGAAUUCCAGGUGUAGCGGUGAAAUGCGUAGAUAUCUGGAGGAACACCGGUGGCGAAGGCGGUAUCCUGGACCGGUAUUGACGCUGAGGCGCGAAAGCCAGGGGAGCAAACGGG